GCUUGUCUCAAAGAUUAAGCCAUGCAUGUCUCAGAAUAAAUCUCUAUACGUUGAAUCUGCAAAUGGCUCUUUAAAACAGUUAUUGUUUACUUGAUGGUCCUUGCUACUUGGAUAACCGUAGUAAUUCUAGAGCUAAUACAUGCAUUAAACCCCGACUUCUGGAAGGGGUGUAUUUAUUAGAUGGAAACCAAUGCGGGGUAACCCGGAAUAUGGUGAUUCAUAAUAACUUUCGGAUCGAUUUAUCGAUGCAUCAUUCAAGUUUCUGCCCUAUCAGCUUUGGAUGGUAGGGUAUUGGCCUACCAUGGCUUUAACGGGUAACGGAGAAUUAGGGUUCGAUUCCGGAGAGGGAGCCUGAGAAAUGGCUACCACAUCCAAGGAAGGCAGCAGG
rnacentral:rRNA from 1 species